rnacentral:rRNA from 1 species
UAAUACGUAGGUGGCAAGCGUUGUCCGGAAUUAUUGGGCGUAAAGCGCGCGCAGGCGGUCUUUUAAGUCUGAUGUGAAAGCCCACGGCUCAACCGUGGAGGGUCAUUGGAAACUGAAAGACUUGAGUGCAGAAGAGGAGAGUGGAAUUCCACGUGUAGCGGUGAAAUGCGUAGAGAUGUGGAGGAACACCAGUGGCGAAGGCGACUCUCUGGUCUGUAACUGACGCUGAGGCGCGAAAGCGUGGGGAGCAAACAGGAUUAGAUACCCUGGUAGUCCACGCCGUAAACGAUGAGUGCUAAGUGUUAGAGGGUUUCCGCCCUUUAGUGCUGCAGCUAACGCAUUAAGCACUCCGCCUGGGGAGUACGACCGCAAGGUUGAA